rnacentral:rRNA from 1 species
GACGAACGCUGGCGGCGUGCCUAAUACAUGCAAGUCGAGCGGACGGAUGGGAGCUUGCUCCCAGACCGUCAGCGGCGGACGGGUUAGUAACACGUGGGCAACCUGCCUGUAAGACUGGGAUAACUCCGGGAAACCGGGGCUAAUACCGGAUAACUCUUUCCCUCACAUGAGGGAAAGCUGAAAGAUGGCAUCUCGCUAUCACUUACAGAUGGGCCCGCGGCGCAUUAGCUAGUUGGUGAGGUAACGGCUCACCAAGGCGACGAUGCGUAGCCGACCUGAGAGGGUGAUCGGCCACACUGGAACUGAGACACGGCCCAGACUCCUACGGGAGGCAGCAGUAGGGAAUCUUCCGCAAUGGACGAAAGUCUGACGGAGCAACGCCGCGUGAGUGAUGAAGGUUUUCGGAUCGUAAAACUCUGUUGUCAGGGAAGAACAAGUACCGGAGUAACUGCCGGUACCUUGACGGUACCUGACCAGAAAGCCACGGCUAACUACGUG